UCUUGUUGAGCCAUAGAGUUGUGGAUGAGCCAACAAUGUUUCUGAUGAGCCAUUAGUAUUCCAAAUGAUCCACCAAUAUCUUGAUGCUCUACAUAUGAUCUACAUGUGUCAUCUGAGAUCAUGAUGGUCCAACUUGCUUUCAGCAAGUGCUCCAUGUAAGAUGCAAGUGUUCCAUGUUCAACAAGUGCUCCAUGUUAACUUCAAGUGAUCCAUAUGUAUAACAAGUGCUCCAACAUUUGAUUCUUCAAACACUUGUUGAAUCUUCAAGAUCUUUCCAACCUGAAACAUUCAGAUAAUGUUUGUUAGAAAUUUUAAAUCAAUACUCAACUUAUUUCAAGUGACAAUCACAUAAAAAUAUUUACAACAGGAGUGUAUGCGCAUUGAGUAUGAUAGCAUGAGGAAACUUGGAUCGGGUUAUUGGUGUGGUUCUUAUUUGGCUUAUAGAUUUUAAUUUGGAACAUGAGUACGGCUGCCUAUCUCAUCCUCUGGUUGUGUGCGACCAUGUUUUCAUCUGAUUUUGCAUUGGUAAUAGACUGUGUUGCGAAAGGAACUAUGUGUGAUAGAAGGGUAUGGACUGUGUUGUGUUUGGUUAGUGUUGAUAGGGAUGUUUAUUGGGUCCCUACCAGUAGGAGGAUUGAUGGUUGAGUAUCUUUAAGCUCGUGUGGUGCUGAUCGUGAAUCUUCAGGCCCGUGAUGGGAUGACGUCAAGAUCGGCGUAGUACCGUGAGCUUACAAUUUUAGUGGUUAGAAGGUUUCAUGGUGUAUCAUGAACCAAUGGCUCUAUAAUUCAUAUGAUUGGGACCCACUAGUCAUUUGAUUGAGACUCUUAGGUCUCAGAUCGUUAGUCUUUGGCAUGGUGGAAGUGUUGUAUUACUGUGGGGUGACCUGUAGCAUUCACAAGGCUGGUAGGUAGUUGUGUAAGUGUUGUAAGACUGUAGGAUGGCUCGUAGAAUUCACUAAGUAUAUGAGUAAUUAUGUGAGUGUUGUGAGUCUCCAAUUUUGCUCAUAGCCUUCACCAGAUUGAGUUUGACCAUUUUAGGAAGGGUGGUGAGACUAUGGGAAGGCCACAACAUUCAUGGGGUUGAGGAAGGUUGUAUGCCGAUUUGGGGUUGGGUGGGAUGUAAGACUAUGGUCGGGUCGGUAGCAUUUACGUAGAACAUAGUGGACUAGAUUGUGUUCGUAUGUAGGUCGGUUACGUCGUCCCUUGAGGAAUUCUGGAGCCAUGUUGGGGAACAGGUUAAGGUAACUUUUGACAAUUAGAAUGUCAGGUGGAGUCUCGAAGCACGACCAUGCAUGAGGUUGUUAGUCUCAGUAGACAGUUAAGGAUUCUGCAUCCCAGUUUAGUAGGUCAACAUGGAAUCAAGAGAUUUCGGGUAGAUCAAAUAUGCAAAUCCCUGCUUAUCAGAAUGUGUGUUAUUUAUUGGUCUGGCACCUGGGGUGAAACUAGCAUUGGGAGUCGCCUUGUUUUCAAAUGAAAUGUUUCAGUCGUGAUGAAAAGAUAUGGUAUCCAUCCUUCUAGUGGCCAGCAAAAUAAUUCAGGGUCAGAAGACUUUCUUUCGGUUUGGAUUGUGAAUUGGAGUUUUUAUGGAUGUAGGAUGAGAUAAUUUUAUCUGUUGAGAAGACAACCACUAUUUAGGGUUCCCAGUUUGUGGGCAGAGUAGUUGAGUUUUCUUUCGAUUGCUGAAGACAGAGUGAUAACAUUCAUUUCUUUUCUAAGAGCUGUGAUUUCUGCUAAGAAUGGGCUUUGAUGGCGUCAUUGAAGAGGUUUGUCUAUUAUGAUAGUGGAAGUAGUAAGGAAUGAUACCGAUGAUGAAAUCUAGUUUAAGUGGGGGAGAGUUGUAACAUCCUGUUUCGAGAAGUUCUUAUUUCAGGAUUGUGUACAAUAAAUGGAUCAGAUGAUGCAUUGGGCUUCAUUGGAAUGAAGUUUAGACUCUAUUAGAGGUGUAUGAUGUUGGAUAAAUGAUUUAAACCUUGGAUUGUUCGAUGGAAGCUAAGGGGUAAAAUAGGAAAGGUUAUGUUUCGGGCUUCUUGCAUAAAUUAAGGAUUUUAGUUAGAGAUGUUUUUAUUCAUAAGUGUCACGAUAGAAUUGUAGAUCUCGUUGUUACCUUUACGUGGAUAUAAAGAUCAUCGAAAACAGAGUUGAAACGAAGAAGUUAUGGUUGUUUGAAGUUAAGCUAGAAAAGGAGUCUAGUACGUUGGGCGUACACUAGCUAGUACGUUGGGCGUACUAGGUUAAGGGAAGUCACGUUUUUAGGGUGUUACACAAGGUGUGACUUUAGGUACGUUGGGCAUAUUUUCGCAGUGCAAAAACCCUAUUUUGUGGUUUUGAGCCCUAUUUAAGGACUCUAACCCCUUAGGCUCCUUCCUAACAUCAACCUCAACCAUCUUGAGCCUCCAAGUUGAAACCCUAGCCCCAUAGAUCAAAUCUUGAUCCUUUCUUUAUGUUUUGAGUGCAUUUUGGAUGAAAGAGAAGUUCAAGCUUGUAGAUUAUUGAAGCUUAAGCUUGUGGAUCCAGAGCCUACAUUGUUUUCUCAACUCCAGAAGGUAUAAAGCUUAAAUCUUGAUGAUGCAUUUGUUAGAUCUAGGUAGUUUUGGGUUUUAUGAACUCUUUUGUAAAUUUAGUGCAUAAAGUUUAGAUCUUGAAAGAUAGUGACCUUGUUAUGGAUAAAUUUGGAAAUUUUAUUCAUCUAAAUAUCAUAUUAAUUCAUAUUUGAAGGUUAGAGACUUGGACUUAAUGGAUUAAGUUGAAAAAGAUGCAUUUUUGGUCCAUUUGAGAUUUAAAGACUAGAUCUUGGUUGUUUGGACCAUCCUAAUGGAUAAAUUUGGAAACUUUAUCCAUUAUGGGGCUAUUAGGAGUCAGAAAGAUGUUAUCUUGGCCCCUUUCUUCCCUCCAUGAGUCAUGAUGCGUUGGUUUGUGUAUUAAGUUAGGAUUUUGGUGUAUGGACUCCUUCUAGCCAUGAAAAGUCAUAAAGUUGGAAACUUUAUGACUUAGAAUGUUAUUUGAGAAUAAAUUUGAGCUUUGGACAUGAAAUCUUAAUGAAAUAAGCACUUAAUGAAGGUAAAUGGAAUUAGUCGAGUAUGUCGGGGGUACCUGGUAAUACGUUGACCGGACCAGGAUGGAGCCCCCUAAUCAGGAAGGGAUCAACUAUGCUGAGUGUAGUGACUGAAUACGUUGGACGUACUCAGUCUGUGUUGACCUAAGGGCAUUUUGGGUAAUUUGAAUUAUAGUUUGAGAUUUAGAUACUUGUGAAUUGUAUAGGUGACCGGUAGAGAUAACUUUUGGGGCAGUGAUCGGUAUAACUAUUCUUUCAUACCGUGAGGUGAGUCUUUUCACUAUACUCAUGGGUUGAAGGCACCAAUGUUGUCCCAUUAGAUUGUGCUAAUUGUCUUUGCAACUUUUGCAUGUAUGUUUGGGUUUGAAUACACCCCAAUGAUGGGCCCAUUAUUAUAUGUUGGGUUGAAAUAUAUCCCAAGGCUGGGCGCACUAUUGUAUGUUGGGUUGAAGUAUACCCAGGUUUGGGCCCACUGUUGAAUAUUGGGUUGAAAUAUACCCCAGGGAUGGGCCCACUAUUGUGUGGUGGGUUGAAAUAUACCCCAGGACUGGGCCCACUAUUGUAUGUUGGGUUUAAAUAUACCCCAGGGUUGGGCCCAAUAAUGUAUAUUGGGUUGAAACAUACCCCAGGGUCGGGCCCACUGAUUUGUAUGGUGUGUGGUACUUUGGGGAACUCACUAAACUUUGUAUUUAUAGUUUAUCUUUAUGGUUUCGGGUACUUCCACUUUCAAAAGGAAGGGCAUGGCUUGAUCGCACUGCAUCCCUUGGAGUUUUAUUCCGCACUAAAUGCUUACAAAUUACUCUGAUGUUUUGAGAAUACUUUGACUUUGGUCGUCGUUUGGAACAAUGAAUGAAUGACUUUAACUUAUUUACAAUGAAAUUUUUAUUCGGUAUUUGUGGGACGUUACAACAUGAUAUGGUCGACUUGGUAGACCACAAGCAGGAAAAAACUACACAAAGAUUAUGAAAAAAGGUUAAAUAGUCAGAUCUUCUCAAUGAUAAAAAAAAAAUGGAAGAUAUCAUUAGAAAGUUAUGUUACCUCAACACACACACACAUACAUACACACACACACACACACACAUAUAUAUAUAUAUAUAAAGAAGUCACUCGGAGUUAUAUUGAUCUUAGAGAAAAUUCGAGAUAUGNACAUAACCAACAAAGCCAAAAUUCUUAGCCCUUAUUAAAAGGCUUAAGGUCAACAACAUUUAUCAUGAAAAUGAAAAAGUCAACAUUUUACAAUUUUUCAUAGCUAAUAACACAAAAGUCCAAAAUUUUAGCCAUUUUGACAACAAAAACUAUGAAAGUCAAUACUUUUGACAAAUGAGUCAAUGAUAAAACUUUACAUUCUCUUUACCAUUUUCAUCACUAAUAUGAUCAAUACGGUAGAAGUAUAAAAACAAAAUUUGAUGCACCUACACCCUUUAACACAUAUCAGGUACCUAUCAUCCAGAAAAACAAAAAAAAAAAAAAAAAAAAAAAAAAAAAAAAAAAAGAAANCUAACAUGUUGGUUUAAACAGAAAUAAAAAAAAUGAAUAAUCAAGAGAAAAACCACAAUAAUAUUUAAAUAAACAUGGGAACAAAAAUAAAACAAAUCAAUAACGUGAAGUAUCAAAAAUAAAACAAAUUUACAAACCUAAAAUUGUUGAAGGAGAAAUCAUUUGAUGUUCAUCUCCUAAGCCAAGUCUAUGCAAUUAUGAAGGAAAAAUCAACUCAUGUUCGUCUCCUGGUGUUCAUCAACAACAAACAUUAGAGAAUACAUGAAUAAGAUAUUUCUUGCAUAAAACUCAAAUAACUCAAACAGAAAUAAAAUUCAAAUAGAUAAUAGGGGACAACAAUUUUUCAUAAGAUAUUGUUGUAAUGUUGUUUUUGAUAAAUGCAACUCGAAACUAUCAUCAGAUUUAAGAAUCUCUCAUGGUUCAACCAUCUUCCUGUUGUGCCUAUUUUCUCUUGUUUCGUUUUGAAUUUUCCACUUUAAUCUAUCAUUAUUGCACAAAAAUUUGAAGAUAAUUCGUAACCGUAAGAUAUCUAUUUGAUUUAGAAUGUGAAAUUGUAACUUGAAAAAAUAAGAACUUGAAAGAGCCAUUACAUGAUCGAUUGAGUACUGAUUUGUUGAUUAAGAACUCGACUAAUCGACUCCUUGAUCUCCGCAUACCACUGAAUUUUCAAUUUUCAAGGGUAUCGGCGAAUACCUAUUUCAUCGAUUGUAAUUCUCAAGACUUUAGGCUUCAAUUAUUUGGCAGACCAGUACCUUCAUCUGAAACCCUAAUAUCUUUCUCGACCACCGCCUCUACAACAUCCUUAAUAGUCGUAAUGGCCUCCGCCACCAAUGACGCAACGAUAGGCGCCAAUAGAAAGAGAGUUAACGGAGAUGGUGAUGGUCAGGCUCGGUGGAGAAGAUGGUGAGUAAGAGGGUUUUGAUGCCUUCCUCUUGAGAGAUGAGGGGAUAAAGUAGAGUAGAGAGAACAUACCUGCAACCGAAGGCGAUAUGGUGGCAAGCCAUACAUGAUGGAAGUUGGAAAUCGAGUAUGUAUCUGAGAUCAAAAUGACAACCCUAACCCGAACUGAUCAACGGUGGGGGCUGCAAUUGAGGGAGCCGAACAUGGAAACUGGGAAGCCGCUGACUAAACCAUUUCCAUCGCACAUCGAGGACAACAACAACCUCAAGACCAUCAUCUGUAAUUUAGAGAAACGGUAGAUGAAACAGUGAGGUAAAAGAAUCAAUUAAACAAAAUCGAUAAGGUUGGAAGUGGUGGGCGGUGGG
rnacentral:lncRNA from 1 species